UGAUCCUGGCUCAGGAUGAACGCUGGCGGUAUGCUUAAUACAUGCAAGUCGUACGAGAGCUUUUAGCUCUAGUGGCGGACGGGUGAGUAACACGUGAGAAUCUGCCCUUAGGAGGAGGAUAACAGCUGGAAACGGUUGCUAAUACUCCAUACGCCGAGAGGUGAAAGGAUUUAUCUGCCUAAGGAGGAGCUCGCGUCUGAUUAGCUAGUUGGUAAGGUAAAGGCUUACCAAGGCGACGAUCAGUAGCUGGUUUGAGAGGAUGAUCAGCCACACUGGGACUGAGACACGGCCCAGACUCCUACGGGAGGCAGCAGUGGGGAAUCUUAGACAAUGGGCGCAAGCCUGAUCUAGCCAUGCCGCGUGAGUGACGAAGGCCUUAGGGUCGUAAAGCUCUUUCGCCAGAGAUGAUAAUGACAGUAUCUGGUAAAGAAACCCCGGCUAACUCCGUGCCAGCAGCCGCGGUAAUACGGAGGGGGUUAGCGUUGUUCGGAAUUACUGGGCGUAAAGC
rnacentral:rRNA from 1 species